UCUUGGCUGCUAACGGGCGGAUUCGUCCACCCACGUCUGUGCGAGUAGUUGAAGGGGAGCGGCGAUGGACCGCGGCGGCGGAGAUGGUGGAGCGAGGCGGCGGAGAUGGUGGAGAGAGGCGGCGUAGGACGUGGCGGGGCGGCGUCGAGGGGGCUCUUCGUCCUUCAGUCUAUCGUCUUCAAGAUGGAAAACCAUUCCCCUCCGUCCGACGACCUCCGCCUCGCCGACCACCACUCCUCCCCCGGCUCCUCUCCCAAGGCCGGCGAGCUCCUCUCCCGCGACCCUGUCCCUCGCCCUCCGCCUGGAUUAGGGCCAUUCCGACGUUCUUGGCGGCCGGAAUUAAGGGAGUCCGAGACGGUCAAGGAGAAAGAACCACCGAAAGAAGAAAUUAGGGUUUCCCAGUCGUUCAAACAACCAAGAAGAAGACGAAGAUGCAGUUUGGGAGGCCAUUGCCGACCGGGGGGCAGCAGAUGAGGUGUUGCUCUCCUUGCAGAAUGAAGCGACUUCGAGCCCUUCACGGGAUGAUCCCAAAAGGCGAGGAAGGGGGUCGUUCUUGGACAAAAAGAGCUGUUUGUAUGGUGACCAGCCUGACAUUGUGACCGCCUUAGAACGCAAUUCGGGGGUCCGAGAAUGAAACGGAUGCUCGUGGUCACCAUUUUGAGGAGGAGUCGACCGGAACUAGACUCAAGAUUUGGUACCAGCGAUGUUCUUGUUCUCUGUGAUUUCCUCCCUAGUACUCGAACGAUCGAUUUAGAGAAGCUCUUUGAGAAAUUAGAGAUCGUGGGGUCCUAUAUGCUGGGUUAAUGAUACUGUUGCAAUUGCAGUCUUUCGAACACCAGCCACUGAUUGGCAGUCAUGUAUCAACCAUACUGUUCCCUGUUGCCACACAUGAGGCUCAGAGCAGCCUUAAUUGCCCAUCCGAAGUACGUUCGCUUUUUGAGGAUCACUGCCUGUUGACCCAGCUUACUCCUAAAGAUCUGGAGCCUCCUUAUCCAAGGCCUAAAACAUCAGCAAGAACAACCCAGAGGUUGAUUGCUCAAGGAAUGGGAAUAAAGCCCUGUACAAAAAUUUGGGUCUAUCUGAGCUGAGGAAGCAAGAAAGAAACGUAUACAUGCUCGGCAAACUUUAGGGGAUGAUGCAUGGGGUUCUGGCAAUGCAUAGCGCUCUUUGCUCAUUUGUCAUUUUGAUUGGGUUCUUGUGUCAUCAAUGAAGUGGAAGCAACAUUCUCUGGUUCUUGGUGCAUCAACGGCUUGCAAAAGAGGUAGCAUCUCCUAAGUAGCAGCUAGAGAGAUUGCUUAAUUCCUGUGGAAUGGGAAGGUAGGGAUUUCGGAAUGGCUUCUGUGCCAUGGGAGGUGGACUUCGUGCCUUAUUAGAAAAUGAUGGUCGACAGCCGGCAUACCUUGGUCCGAUUCUCGCCAUCUUUAUUCUUCAUUUUUUUUUUUUUGGUGUUAUUUGAUAGACCGACCUGUGACGUGACGCCAUCAAUAUGCAUUUGGAUGGGCAAACCCCGUGCUUCUCUCCCUCUCGACAUUUCCACGGUCAGCCCCUCAAUGCAUCUCCAUGUUCCGAGCAAGAACUUUGGACUUGGGGUUCAGGUCGGUUAUCACUAAUUUAAGGAAAAGGAGGAAAUCUAAUCUAGCUAACUUAAUGAUAAAUAGUCCUCAGGUCUUCUUGUAGCAUAAAUAAAAGGUAAAAACAAUUUGAUAAAGUAUUUCGCUCUGGAAUUUAUAUAGUUGAUGUGUAACUUUUUGUUUUCAUCCAUCCUCACCCGGUCUGGUACCGGCUAUCAUUUGUGUAACAUUUUUAUGGGGAUAUAUUCAUGCGUUACUGUUGCAGUACUCGAGAAAAUGCUUUCGAUCGAGCAAUAUUCAACACCUGCAACAACCUCUUGCGCCGCAGUAUUGAUCCGAAGUUGCUCCCACAGAAUUUGCUUCUGAUGCCAUCUUGUGGGUUGAAUCUUGUUGACGUUAGACUAUAUUCUGGGGAGCGGUAAUUUGAAGGCACAUGAGGUUAUGGUUCAAUGUAAUUUUCUGGCCUCUCUCCCUAACAAGCAAAGUGCCGCUUGUAAAGAUAAUUAUUCAUUGGCUAACUUAAGAUUUCAUCGUCAACCAUAACAUCAUUUUCCUGAAAAUGAAGUUAGCAUAAUUGAGGUUCCGAUCA